UACGUAGGGCGCAAGCGUUAUCCGGAAUUAUUGGGCGUAAAGAGCUCGUAGGCGGUUUGUCGCGUCUGCCGUGAAAGUCCGGGGCUCAACUCCGGAUCUGCGGUGGGUACGGGCAGACUAGAGUGAUGUAGGGGGAGACUGGAAUUCCUGGUGUAGCGGUGAAAUGCGUAGAUAUCGGGAGGAACACCUGAGGCGAAGGCGGGCUACUGGGCCGAUACUGACGCUGAUGUGCGAAAGCCAGGGGAGCGAACGGG
rnacentral:rRNA from 1 species